GCUAAUGGUGGGUUUUAUGCACCGGCGAAAGUUGCACGACACUAAAGAAGAUAGUGAUGGUGGAAGGUGAAAGUGCAUCUAAACCAUGGACUCAACAUUAGUCAUGAAGAACUUAUAUACUUGUUGCAAAAGUUUUAGUAGUAAUCGAAACAAAGCAUUCAACGCAUACUCCUAGGGGAAGGAUUGGUAGGUAUAAACCAUCGCGCGAUCCCGACUGCUACACAAAGGAUGACAAUAAAUAAACUAAUCAUGCUCAGACUUCAUCACAUAGCAGUUCACCAUACGUGCAUGCUACGGGAAUCACUAACUUCAACACAAGUAUUUCUAGAUCCACAACACCUUACUAGUAUAACUUCAAUAUUACCAUAACCGCAACUCAAAACUAAUUGAGAUGAAUCAAACUUAUCUAACUACUCAAUGCACAUGAAGGUGGAAGUUUUCAUAUCCCUUUGGAUAACUACCCCUUUUGAGACUACUUUCAUAGCUUAGAUCAACUACCAAGCCACGCACUGCCGUGCUCCAAAAGAUAGAAGUGAAGCACAUAGAGAAAAAUCAACUAGCUCAAAAGAUAUAAGUGAAACACAUGUGAGGUGAAUUGCCUAACCAAAGGAUAUAAGUGAAGCUCGACAAAAUCACGGUGAGUGCAUGUCUCUCUCUCUAGGUGUGCAGCAAGGAAGAUUGUGACACAACAAAAAUAAAAGACUCCUACGAUACAAGACGC
rnacentral:lncRNA from 1 species